rnacentral:rRNA from 1 species
GAUGAACGCUGGCGGCGUGCCUAAUACAUGCAAGUCGAGCGAACAGAUGAGGAGCUUGCUCCUCUGACGUUAGCGGCGGACGGGUGAGUAACACGUGGAUAACCUACCUAUAAGACUGGGAUAACUUCGGGAAACCGGAGCUAAUACCGGAUAAUAUAUUGAACCGCAUGGUUCAAUAGUGAAAGACGGUUUUGCUGUCACUUAUAGAUGGAUCCGCGCCGCAUUAGCUAGUUGGUAAGGUAACGGCUUACCAAGGCAACGAUGCGUAGCCGACCUGAGAGGGUGAUCGGCCACACUGGAACUGAGACACGGUCCAGACUCCUACGGGAGGCAGCAGUAGGGAAUCUUCCGCAAUGGGCGAAAGCCUGACGGAGCAACGCCGCGUGAGUGAUGAAGGUCUUCGGAUCGUAAAACUCUGUUAUUAGGGAAGAACAAAUGUGUAAGUAACUAUGCACGUCUUGACGGUACCAAUCAGAAAGCCACGGCUAACUACGUG